rnacentral:lncRNA from 1 species
CAGCCUCUUUUGUCUCCAACCUCCAUUGGGACAACACCAUAUUAAUUGUCGCUGACAAUAUUUAAUAUUUCUUCUCUUUAGACAACGUCACAAUGAAGGUCGUCGCCUCAGCACUAACCAUUUCAGAACCCUCAUGUCCAAUUGAUAUAAUUUAGGAUGUAAAUGUAGUAGUGAUAAGUUAUGUAUGACCUUGUAGGAUUAGUAUAGAUAGUUAUAGUUCAGUUAAAUGUUAUUGUUUGUUAAACUUCUAUGAUUUUAUAGAAGUGCAUGUAUAAGUUGUAAAUAAUAAAGGGAAAAGACAUCCCGAUAUAUACUCGCA